GCUCAAAGUGAUACUGUCAAUUAGGUUGUUAAUUUAUUUGAAAGUAAACUGCAUUAUUCAAUAAGUAAUCAUAAAAAUUGAACAAAAUACUCCAGCACGGACACGAGAACAUAUCAUAUGCAUGUUGGAGGCGCAACGCUGGGGACAACUCGAAAACUAAGUAUAAUAAUAAUAGCAAGAAAAGGGUGUUGGUGACUCUGACAGGAAGUGGUAAGCAGCCAGCAAAGAAAGCGGAUCGUGCGACCAGGCAUUUGCGAGGGAAAAGUCAAACAUUUGGGCGCCUUUGGCAGGAAUGUGAAUUAAUUUCGCCAACUGUUUGACUUACUGCUAACAAGGGCAACCACAAAAACACACGCCUGAAUUGAGGGUAGCCGAGUGAAAUAUGAGAAAUUUGUAAUGAAUUAUGAACAAACGCACGAGCACUUAUGAAGCAAUGCUGAUUAAUCCAGAUAAGUCCAGAUGUUGAUAAUUUUUCAAUAAAAACGCUAUGAAACAAU